rnacentral:piRNA from 1 species
UAUUUCCUAUGCUUUUCAUACAUCACUUG